rnacentral:rRNA from 1 species
UACGUAGGGUGCGAGCGUUAAUCGGAAUUACUGGGCGUAAAGCGUGCGCAGGCGGCUUUGCAAGACAGAUGUGAAAUCCCCGGGCUCAACCUGGGAACUGCAUUUGUGACUGCAAGGCUAGAGUACGGCAGAGGGGGAUGGAAUUCCGCGUGUAGCAGUGAAAUGCGUAGAUAUGCGGAGGAACACCAAUGGCGAAGGCAAUCCCCUGGGCCUGUACUGACGCUUAUGCACGAAAGCGUGGGGAGCAAACAGG